AUCUUGCGCAAUGGGCGAAAGCCUGACGCAGCCAUGCCGUGUGAAUGACGAAGGUCUUAGGAGUGUAAAAUUCUUUCACCGGAGACGAUAAUGACGGUACCAGGAGCAGAAGACUCGGCUAAAUUCGGGCUUGCAGCCGCGGUAAUACGAAGGGGGCUGGCGUGGCUCGGAAUUACUGGCCGUAAAUAGCGCGUAGGCGGACAUUUAAGUCAGGGGUGAAAUCCCAGAGCUCAACUCUGGACCUGCCUUUGAUACUGGGUGUCUUGAGUGUGAGAGAGGUAUGUGGAACUCCGAGUGUAGAGGUGAAAUUCGUAGAUAUUCGGAAGAACACCAGUGGCGAAGGCGACAUACUGACUCAUUACUGACGCUGAGGCGCGAAAGCGUGGGGAGCAAACA
rnacentral:rRNA from 1 species